CCGUCAGUGGUGGGCUUGGACGCCGUCUCUUCGGCGGCCGGGGUGUCGGCGGACGACACGUCGGCCGGUUCCUUCCCGGCGGACGGC
rnacentral:tRNA from 1 species